UUGUUAAUAAUUAUGUUGUGAAAUAACAUAUUUGAGUGUACAUGUUUCCCUCACCAACACAACGAUGGGAAAAAUACAGAAAUUAAAUCAAAAUGAAAGAUGACACUUGGAGCAUUAACAUGGUCAGAACUUAGAUAUAUGGAUUCCUGGGGCCUGGGCUGCUAUAUUAGAGGCCACAAAAAUUGAUAUAUAUAGUGGCACAGAGAGAAUGAUACGCAGCAAACAAAAUAGUAGAAUGUAGGUAUAUACAAACAUGUAUAAUGUCCUUUAAUAGGAGGAGGACAUGGACAUUUCUAUACGUCUGUUGUUAGAUAAUGAUGUUUGAGGCUCGGUUGAGAAAACAAAAUUAGCCAUCAACAAGGGUUUUGCGUCCAAGUCUUGAUAACUUAAAGGUACUCGCUGCUCUUUGUAGCAGAGUCGUUGAUGAUGAUGGAUGGCUACAGGAUUGGCUCUGCCCUCAACACAAUUCCAACUACAAUAAGUGAGAUUUGUCUGCUUCCGUUUCUUUUUUUCGGGUCAUUUCGUUAGACUACAGUAUUACUUGUUGUAGGGGAUAUGUAAUUUGCAAGUUGAGAUGGAACUGAUUUGAGUUGGACAUUGGACAAUUCUUCAAGCAUUGCAUGUGCAUGUGCAUGUUACUGUAGCCUCUUAUUUUUCUUGACCUUUUCGUGUUUGACGCUUGUAAGGUGUUGUACAAAGUAGAGAGCAUAGGAAAAGGGUUCUGUUGCGAUAGCUAAGCUAGCUAGUGUAAGGAACUAAAGAUUGAAAUAAAAUAAUAAAGCAUUUGGGCCUCUGGCCUAUAUUUCAGUAUUGGAUUGUUUUGUUACUAUCUUGGACCAUUGUGGAAUAGCACUGGCCUAUUUUCUUUUUAAUUUACACAAGC
rnacentral:lncRNA from 1 species